rnacentral:lncRNA from 1 species
AAGUCUUGGACUGAGGAGCUCCAAAAAGGAAGCUGUGGCGCUGCGUAGGGAAGGAGGGAAGAAAGUAGGUCUCCGAGAUGCUGCGGCUUGUGGUGCAGUCGGCCAAGAUUGACCCACCACUAGCCCCACUACCCAGGCCCUGCAUGUCCAUCGACUUCAGAGAUAUCAAGAAAAGAACUCGUGUGGUGGAAGGGAAUGAUCCCGUGUGGAAUGAGACCCUAAUCUGGCACCUCUGGAACCGCCCCCUGGAAAAUGACUCCUUCCUGCAAGUCACCCUUCAGGACAUGGGCUCACAAAAGAAAGAAAGGUGAGGCAGAGAGAGGCAGGAGGAGCCUAGCUCCUGACCAACGCAGCAGCAAGUUAUGUGAUCCUUGUCUCUAAUCCAUAACUCACUCAGAUGAA